rnacentral:lncRNA from 1 species
UGCUCAAUCUCUCCCUACUUCUCGAUCUAUCUCUUUCUAUAAUUCUAUGCUUUUAUUUUUAUUUCUAUUUUUAUUCUAUAAAAAUAAUAAUAAAGCCCUGUCCAUUUUAAGUAUUGUAACUUCCAAUCAUCACCACCCUUUCCGAUUGAUCUGAGUCCCAUAACGCAUGUCAAGGCUCUGCCUGACUAAGUUCGUUUGGAUUCUAUCUCAGGACUUCGGGACAAGGUGGAAUUAGGAGUACUAUACUUAACACGAGUGCAAUAUAUAUUUUUAAUAGCUCCAAAGGUUAUACCCAAAAUUUAUACCAGGAGUCCUUCUAGUUGAACCCUAAAGUUACAUAGUAGGUCCAUUCCUUUUUCCCACCAUUUUAUUCUUUUUUUGUAAGUUACCAAAACUAUUAUUUAUUAUUUAUUAUUUCUAUUUUAUAAACAAACUUUCAUCAAAAGUCAUGCCUAUUAUUUACCCAAUAGGGAACCAUAGUUGAGACACCCAAGUAAUCCUGCACAACCCCUAAAAUUUCCAGAACAAUCAGAAUCAGGAUCAGGGCCCCUAAAACUCAGGGGGGGAUAAACCCUAGCCAACGAUUAUCUUCAUAACUAAUUAUAAAAUCCGAAAAAUUAAAAACCGUCGACACAGCAAGCCUACAUGCACGAAGGGCUACUCUAUGAAAAUAGGGUGAUCACUCGCGUAGCGCGACGCCUAAAGGGGUACCCCCUCGCGCUACGCGACGGUGUCAAAUUUUCAGUAUAAAUAGCAGGGGUUGGGACUUGAAAUUUGGCACUUGAACGACGAAAAUCGGAGUUACGUAGGUCGAGUUAUAAGCAAAACAGUCCAACACACACACACAAUUAUCGAAUCGCUGCCGCAGAACAGGGUAAUUACUCGAUCGCUAUUACGAUUCAGUUUCCAGGAUCAAUAUACCCAAAGAAUGUCUAAGUGCCGCCCACAUUGGGCUAUGCUUUGUCGUUGUCGAUAAUUCGAUAAUGAGUUGAAGCAUUGUACUUUGUCGUUGUCGAUAAUUCGAUAAUGAGUUGAAGUACUAUACUUUGUCGUUUGUCAUUUUGAUAAAUGAGUUGAAGUAUCGCACUUGGUCAUUCAUUGCGAAUAUUUGAUCCCGGGAAAUUAUCGUAGCUGCUGUAUUGAGCAUUAACCCGGUUUUUGUGAAAUUCGUUAAGGUUGAUUUAGGUUUUUCACCAAUACGUAUUCUAUUCUGUUAAACCACCAAAAACACUCCCAACUACACCCUUACAAUCAAACAAACUAUUAAAUCAUCAGAAGAUCCAGAAUAAUAAAUGCCUAAUUAUCGAAAGAAGUAGAAUCAAGAAGUUUGUUAAUUCAAUCCUGCAUGCUGAAUUGUAGUUACAGUAGAUUGGAGUAAGGAUUGGAUCCGGCACUAAAAGACUUCAAGAAGUGGCUUAUUUUAUUAAUUAAAUCAACUUAAGAAAUAUUGUUUUCAUUAAAAGCUACCUUUGUAAAACAUGGAAUUUAUUCCAUCUAUUUCAAUAAAAAUCCGGUGUUUCUAAACUCUGAUAUUUUCCUAACUCACGGUCCUGAUGAAAUUUCCGCUGCAAUGUUUUUAAAAUAAUCACCGGUACCACUGGACUGCUCACGGCACCGAUCCCGGCUAGAUGGGGUCGGGGGUCGUGACAUAAGGAUAAUCACUCCGUCAUAAAAAACAAUUUUAAAUAACCUACUAUAUAAUAACAGGACCCACACGUCCCACACGUUGGAAAUUCGGUUGUUUUCAGUUCAGUUAUUACGGUGCUAACACGUUAAAAUAUGGAUGAGCUCGGUACCGGUAACGGCAAGGAAAGUACCGAUCCGGAAAAUCAUCGAAAUUAGGUACCGGCACCGAAAAUGCUCGUUACAAUACAAUAUGGAAUUUGAAGGUAAAAAACAAUAAAUACAGGUAUGGUGCUAGACCGUUGUCGAACGAAAGUAACGAUUCUGAAAACGCCAAAAGGUGGGUACCAAAUUGGUACCGAAAAUGAUUUGGUAUAGUAAAUUUGGUACCAAUACGAUGUCGAUUCGUUUACAGGAUUUGAUACGAUUUGCUCAUCAAUAUUCUAAAUAUGCAAGUUAAUUUUACAUGUUACAAUUCAUUC